CGGCGUGGAUGAGGCAUGCAAGUCGAACGAAAUUUAAGGCAACUUAAAUUUAGUGGCGGAAGGGUUAGUAAUGCAUGGGUAAUGUACCUUAAACCUGGGGAUAACACUUGGAAACGAGUGCUAAUACCGAAUGUGAUUUAAAAAUGGCAUCAUUUUUAAAUCAAAGCGGGGGACUCUGAAAAGAGCCUUGUGGUUUGAGAGCAGCCCAUGUGGUAUCAGCUAGUUGGUGAGGUAAGAGCUCACCAAGGCUAAGACGCCUAGGCGGACUGAGAGGUCGAUCGCCAACACUGGGACUGAGAACUGCCCAGACUCCUACGGGAGGCUGCAGUCGAGAAUUUUUCGCAAUGGGCACAAGCCUGACGAAGCGACGCCGUGUGUGUGAUGAAGGUCUUAGGAUCGUAAAGCACUUUUGCCUGGGAGCAAACUGGAGAGAAUAAUAUACUCUUCAAUUGAGAGUACCUGGAGAAUAAGCGCCGGCUAACUGCGUGCCAGCAGCUGCGGUAAUACGUGGGGCGCUAGCAUUAAUCGGAUUUACUGGGUGUAAAGGGUGCGUAGGCUGUUUAGUAAGUUGGACGUUAAAUCUUGGGGCUCACCCCCAGGCUGCUUCCAAAACUGCUAGACUAGAGUUCAAGAGGGGGAAAUGGAAUUCCACAAGUAGCGGUGAAAUGCGUAGAUAUGUGGAGGAACACCGGUGGCGAAGGCGGUUUCCUAGAUUGAUACUGACGCUGAGGCACGAAAGCAAGGGGAGCAAACAGGAUUAGAUACCCUGGUAGUCCUUGCUGUAAACGAUGCACACUUGAUGUAGCUAGUCUCAACCCUAGCUGUGUCGAAGCUAACGCGAUAAGUGUGCCACCUGGGGAGUACGCCUGCAAGGGUGAAACUCAAAAGAAUUGACGGGGACCCGCACAAGCAGUGGAGCAUGUGGUUUAAUUCGAUGAUACGCGAAGAACCUUACCUGGGCUUGACAUGUAGUUGAAUAAAUCAGAGACGAUUUAGUCCGCAAGGACAACUACACAGGUGCUGCAUGGCUGUCGUCAGCUCGUGCCGUGAGGUGUUGGGUUAAGUCCCGCAACGAGCGCAACCCUUGUCGUUAGUUGCCAUCAGGUAAAGCUGGGCUCUUUAACGAGACUGCCUAAGUCGAUUAGGAGGAAGGUGAGGAUGACGUCAAGUCCGCAUGGCCCUUAUGUCCAGGGCUACACACGUGCUACAAUGGCUGGUACAGAAGGUUGCAAAGCCGCGAGGUGGAGCUAAUCCUUAAAACCAGUCCCAGUUCAGAUUGCAGUCUGCAACUCGACUGCAUGAAGUCGGAAUUGCUAGUAAUGGCGUGUCAGCAAUAGCGCCGUGAAUACGUUCCCGGGUCUUGUACACACCGCCCGUCACACCACGGGAGUUGCUCUUGCCCGAAGAGGCUGAACCAACCAGAAAUGGAGGGAGGUCUCAAAAGUGAGGGUGACAACUAGGGUGAAGUCGUAACAAGGUAACCGUAA
rnacentral:rRNA from 1 species